rnacentral:rRNA from 1 species
CAGUAGCCGCGGGAAUACGAAGGGGGCUAGCGUUGUUCGGAUUUACUGGGCGUAAAGCGCACGUAGGCGGAUCGAUCAGUCAGGGGUGAAAUCCCAGAGCUCAACUCUGGAACUGCCUUUGAUACUGUCGAUCUGGAGUAUGGAAGAGGUGAGUGGAAUUCCGAGUGUAGAGGUGAAAUUCGUAGAUAUUCGGAGGAACACCAGUGGCGAAGGCGGCUCACUGGUCCAUUACUGACGCUGAGGUGCGAAAGCGUGGGGAGCAAACAGGAUUAGAUACCCCAGUAGUCCCUGUCUCUUAUAC